rnacentral:rRNA from 1 species
GAUGAACGCUGGCGGCGUGCCUAAUACAUGCAAGUCGAGCGAACGGACGAGAAGCUUGCUUCUCUGAUGUUAGCGGCGGACGGGUGAGUAACACGUGGAUAACCUACCUAUAAGACUGGGAUAACUUCGGGAAACCGGAGCUAAUACCGGAUAAUAUUUUGAACCGCAUGGUUCAAAAGUGCAAGACGGCCUUGCUGUCACUUAUAGAUGGAUCCGCGCUGCAUUAGCUAGUUGGUAAGGUAACGGCUUACCAAGGCAACGAUGCAUAGCCGACCUGAGAGGGUGAUCGGCCACACUGGAACUGAGACACGGUCCAGACUCCUACGGGAGGCAGCAGUAGGGAAUCUUCCGCAAUGGGCGAAAGCCUGACGGAGCAACGCCGCGUGAGUGAUGAAGGUCUUCGGAUCGUAAAACUCUGUUAUUGGGGAAGAACAUAUGUGUAAGUAACUGUGCACAUCUUGACGGUACCUAAUCAGAAAGCCACGGCUAACUACGUG